rnacentral:misc_RNA from 1 species
GAUGAAGAACGUAGCAAAAUGCGAUAAGUAAUGUGAAUUGCAGAAUUCAGUGAAUCAUCGAAUCUUUGAACGCACCUUGCGCCUUUUGGUAUUCCGAAAGGCACACCUGUUUGAGCGUCAUGAAUACCUCAAUCUCCAUCUUUUCUUCGGAUUGAUGGGUGACUUGGAUGUUGAGCCCUGCUGGUAUGCUAUAUCAGCUGGCUUUAAACUUAUUAGCCGGCUCUGUACUGGAUCGGUUUGACUCGACGUGAUAAUAUUAUCGUUGAGGAUGCAUGUCUCAUGCAGCCGGAAAGUAUCAAAGCAGCUUCUAGCUUGCCUUUAGUGCACUUUUACAUUUUAGACCUCAGAUCAGGUGGGACUACCCGCUGAACUUAAGCAUAUCAAUAAGCGGAGGA